rnacentral:piRNA from 1 species
UAGGUGUCCUCAGCACAGUUCCCUGGUCUC